rnacentral:rRNA from 1 species
UACGUAGGGUGCGAGCGUUAAUCGGAAUUACUGGGCGUAAAGCGUGCGCAGGCGGUUUUGUAAGCCAGAUGUGAAAGCCCCGGGCUUAACCUGGGAAUGGCAUUUGGGACUGCAAGGCUUGAGUGCGGCAGAGAAGACUGGAAUUCCCGGUGUAGCAGUGAAAUGCGUAGAUAUCGGGAGGAAUACCGAUGGCGAAGGCAGGUCUCUGGGCUGACACUGACGCUCAUGUACGAAAGCGUGGGGAGCAAACAGG